rnacentral:lncRNA from 1 species
GCACGCAUAGCAUCCAGCAGCUUCCAGUCGGUGUACAGCAACAACAAUUGAUUAAAAAAGCAAUAGCAAGCAACAAAUCCCCACUGAACGCCCAGUGACUUCCCCUUCUACUCUUCGCCAUUCAUCUCGUCCUCACCACCCAGCGCCGUUCCGCCUCGAUCUUCCUCCUCCUCUACCUCACCUUCAAGCGCUGCUCCUCCUCCUCUUCUGCAUCCACCUCACCACCCAGCCACUUCCCGGCUGCCAAAGGUGGCGCGGGAAAUUCUGGCAGCAUCGGUGUGUGUGUUUGCUGUUGCGGCUGGGGCGGCGGCGGCCUGCUCAUCGGCUCACGGGGCCGGAGCGGAGUACCGGUGCAGUGGUGGUGGAGCCCCUCCCGGUGGGUGACUGGGAGCGACGGCGGGCUGCAGGGCUGGCAUGCAGUGGCGGCUCGGUUGCUCGCCAGAUCUGGCGGCCGGCCAGCACGCUCGGGGCUGGUUGGACCUAUGGCGGAGGCGAGGGAGGAGGUCUGGUGGUGCUGCUCGUCUGCCGGUGGCGGAAGGAUUCUGGGCGGCUUAGGUGGAAUCACCAAGUUUUCUCUUCCGUGAGCUCUUCUCUGUACCAUCGUUGGCCAUCUCUGUAUGAAUCAAUAUGGCAAAAUUAGCUCGACCUAUCUAUUAGGCUGGGCACACCAUGGCUGCACCAAAUUUUUUCUUUAUCUCCAUAUCGGCUCUUCUCCUUCUUUAGGAUUAUUAUAGCUCAAAUGGCAUCUCCAAUUUUUUCCGUGUAUCUUCGGAUCGGCUAAUUUUUUCUAUGUAUCUUCAGAUCAGCCCUCUCUCCUUCUUUAGGAUUAUUAGGACUUAGGGUAAGGCGUAGGCGCUGGGACAUUGGCGAGCGGCAGCAUGGUAAGGGUGCGGCGCCCUAGAGGUGGAAGAUGCGAUUGGAUCGUGGGUCAUGCGGCUAGGUAAGCUCGUUUUUUAUGUUCUGUCGCUCGUACGAUUUGGUCAUCUGAGCUGUGCGGGUUGGUUCUCAUCCUCGCUUCUCUCUCUGUUUUUUCACGGAGCCGCCAUCCUCCCAGCAAGGCUAGGACCGGCGGAGGCCGAGCGGCGGACUGAUUUGGUUUGUGGUGGUCGUCGGCUUGCCGGAGAGGGGCGAGGUGGUGACUGUCGACUUGCCGGAGAGGGAGGGGGAGGAGGAGGAGCCGCGGCACGGUCCGUCGGGUGAUGGGGCGCGAUUGUGGCGGUUGAGAGGACAGGAUAAAGAAGGGACGUGCGGCUGGUGUUUUCGCUAGCGAAUCGUUAUUUUACUUAGGUGCGGAUUGCGGGUUGAUUUUAUGUAAACCGAGGGGCUUUUUUGAAAAACUGCCACGACGACGGACGACCGAAACCCUAUUCUCUUUAUUAUUACUAGUACAAAUGCCCGUGCAUUGUAACGGGCUUGAGCUGUGAUUUAUUAAUCAACAUGAUAACUCACACCGGUGGGACAUGGAACCAUGUUUUACAAAGCUUAUUCAUAAAACCUUCCUUAGUUAAAUAUGGGCAACUUUGUUUACCAAACGACACACCCAGCAAACCUUAUACUUCGCAAAGUCCUAAAGAAGUUCUUUGUCAUUACACACCAUUAUUUAUAUCUAGUUCUAAUAAAUGUCUAUAUUAAUGUUGCACUGAUUAUUGCUUCUCGGUUGAAUUUUUUCGUUAAGAAGCCAAUUUGGCAUUCUUCUGAUUGAAGAGUAGUUCAUGGAAUAGUCUCCGAAUCAGUUUUCUUUUUUUCCUUUCAAAAAAAAAGGUUUUUCUUGAUAAAAACAAAUACUUUAUUAAAAAAUAGAAAAUAGUGAGUUUUGUUUUAGCAUUUGUAAAUGCAUUUUUUAAAUGGAACAACUUUUGGCAAUUUUGAUCGGUUUUUAAGAAGUGUGAAUAUAUAUAACGGUGUACUUAUUAUAAAACUAUUUUUACUAAAUUGAGUUUUUUUAGAUAUAUAAGUUUAUUGUUUGGUCGGGAAUCGUUAUUCUUGUAUUUUUCAUUAUUUGGGCUUGGCCCAAACAAAGCACUUACAUAGACACUUCACGUACAUAGAGAACACUUUGGUAUUAAAAAAGGGAGUGUCUAUAUUACAAUCGACUGAAAUUGAAUUGGCCUUCAAUCAAAUAUGCCAACCAUUAACAAUCAGACACAAACGGAAAAUGAUAACUUGACUGAAAAUACAGGCACUACAAACAUGGCACGUGUAUGUAUGACCUAUGCGCUCUAUGAUCCAUGAGCAAACAAUGGAAGGGCCCAAAAAGCAACACCGCCACGUCAGUACUCUCACGACCUUCUCCAGGUUAUUGACAAUUUUGUUUUCUUCACAACACUUUUGGAAGAAAACCUGAAAUUCUCAUAACAUUAUCAAGGAUAUGAAGUUGCUUGAAACAGGAACAAUUCACAGAAAAUAACUGACUCAACUACCAGGACGGACAAGAUGCUACACAAAACCAGUUUGAUGAUAUAGGACUGUAUAACCGUGAAACUGUAAUUUACAGAAAUGUACAGCAAGGCAGCAAGCUAUAGAAAGCUUCUUUUAAUUUAUUUUAAAGAACUAACCUUGUACCAUGUUUCCAGGUCCCGCAACAAACACAAGGAGAUGAAGCC